UACGUAGGGUGCAAGCGUUAAUCGGAAUUACUGGGCGUAAAGCGUGCGCAGGCGGUUUUGUAAGACUGUCGUGAAAUCCCCGGGCUUAACCUGGGAAUGGCAUUUGGGACUGCAAGGCUCGAGUGCGGCAGAGGAGACUGGAAUUCCUGGUGUAGCAGUGAAAUGCGUAGAUAUCAGGAGGAAUACCGAUGGCGAAGGCAGGUCUCUGGGCUGACACUGACGCUCAUGCACGAA
rnacentral:rRNA from 1 species